UACAGAGGGGGCAAGCGUUAUUCGGAAUUAUUGGGCGUAAAGGGCGCGUAGGCGGCCUGGCAAGUGGAAGGUGAAAUCCCUCGGCUUAACCGAGGAACUGCCCUCCAAACUGCUUGGCUUGAGUCCGGGAGAGGUGAGUGGAAUUCCCAGUGCAGCGGUGAAAUGCGUAGAUAUUGGGAGGAACACCAGUGGCGAAGGCGGCUCACUGGACCGGAACUGACGCUGAGGCGCGAAAGCGUGGGGAGCAAACAGG
rnacentral:rRNA from 1 species